rnacentral:tRNA from 1 species
GCGGAUGUGUCGUAAUUGGUAGCCGAGCCAGACUUAGGAUCUGGUGCCGCGAGGCGUGUGGGUUCGAGUCCCUCCAUCCGCA